AAAUAGAUAAAAAAAUAUUAAGAGAAAGAGACCAAGGAAGACAUGGUGGGAGGUUAAAAUCUCCAGAACCCUAACGCCAAAGUCAUACUCGUUGGUUUUGGCUUUUAUCAACAACAAAAAAAAACAGAGUAUGAGAGAUAGAGUAAAGAACAUAAUAAUAAACGAUUCUCUCUUUAAUCAAACACACAACUUUAUUGAUAUGAGAAACUGAAUUGUAUUACAGACUUUUGUAUUGCAGGAAAUAGAGACUUGAUCUGUAUUUUUACGAGUGAAACAUUGUGUUGUGUAAUAAGAAAAGACAUGACUCUUCAUAAGACACAACAUAUAAAUCAUGACUCUUAACGUUUCGGGGGACGUUGUGUCGCCUUUGUAGAUGC